AAUGAACGCUGGCGGCAGGCCUAAAACAUGCAAGUCGAACGCCCUAGCAAUAGGGAGUGGCGCACGGGUGAGUACAUGUGGGAAUAUGCCUUUUGGUACGGAACAACGUUUGGAAACGAACGCUAAUACCGUAUGGUCCCUCCGGGGUAAAGAUUUAUCGCCAAAAGAUUAGCCCGCACUAGAUUAGCUAGUUGGUAAGGUAAUGGCUUACCAAGGCGAGGAUCUAUAGCUGUUCUGAGAGGAAGGUCAGCAGCACUGGGACUGAGACACGGCCCAGAAUUCUCCGGGAGGCAGCAGUUAGGAAUAUUGGACACUGGGCGCAAGCCUGAUCCAGCCAUGCCGCGUGAGUGAUGAAGGCCUUCGGGUUGUAAAGCUCUUUUGCCGACGAAUACAAUGACUGUAGUCGGAGAAUAAGCCCCGGCUAACUUCGUGCCAGCCGCCGCAGUAACAC
rnacentral:rRNA from 1 species